GCGGAAGGAUCAUUAUUGAAUACAUUGUGAAGGAGGUUGAGCUGGCUUUUAACCAAGCAUGUGCUUGUCUCCUUUCAAUAUCUUCAUCCACCUGUGCACCUUUUGUAGGGAUAUAGAAAGAUCUGGAACGGUGUAAAAGCCAAGUACGGGGACUUCUGUUCUCUAUGUUUUUACACACCUAAUGUAUGUUUAUGAAUGUCUAUUGGGGACUUUAUUGACCCUAUAAAAAGUUAAUACAACUUUCAGCAACGGAUCUCUUGGCUCUCGCAUCGAUGAAGAACGCAGCGAAAUGCGAUAAGUAAUGUGAAUUGCAGAAUUCAGUGAAUCAUCGAAUCUUUGAACGCACCUUGCGCCCCUUGGGUAUUCCGAGGGGCAUGCCUGUUUGAGUGUCAUUAAAUUCUCAACCUCAUAAGCUUUUGUUUAUUGAGGAUUGGAUGUGAGGGUUGCUGGCUUGUAACAGAGUUCAGCUCCCUUGAAAUGUAUUAGUGGACUUAGCCGUUUGUGGGCCACAUUGGUGUGAUAAUUAUCUACGCCUUUAUGGUUUGCAGCUUGGGAGGUUGCAAUGUAACAGUUGCUCUUCCUGUUGUCAAGUGCUGUCCGCUUCGAACCGUCCUAAGUUAUUGGACAAUUCAUUGACUUGUUUGACCUCAAAUCAGGUAGGACUACCCCCCUGAACUUAAGCAUAUCAAUAAGCGGAGGAAAAAAACUAACAGGGA
rnacentral:rRNA from 1 species